GCAGAAAUGAUGUGUAAAAUUUGAAUCAGAAAUGAAAACCAGCAGAUCAUAUCUAGAAUGCUUUUAACAACCCAAAUAUGCAGGGAAAGCUGCUUCUUCAGAAUCCAAGAGCAGGAUUUUGCCUAGCCUCGAUGCCUGGAGUAGUCAGCUCUGUGAAGGGAAAUGAAUUUGGGAUUCAUUCACACCCACACAAUCAAGUGCUGAAAAGGUGAAGGGAGACAUCCUUUUGUUACAUGAUUUAAAUUCAAAUUAGUUUUGAACACCAUGUGUAAGCAGCAUUCCAUUUACAAUGCAGAAAAAACACCAGAUCCUGAUGGCUGACA